GAUGAACGCUGGCGGCGUGCCUAAUACAUGCAAGUCGAGCGAACAGACGAGGAGCUUACUCCUCUGACGUUAGCGGCGGACGGGUGAGUAACACGUGGAUAACCUACCUAUAAGACUGGGAUAACUUCGGGAAACCGGAGCUAAUACCGGAUAACAUGUUGAACCGCAUGGUUCAACAGUGAAAGACGGUCUUGCUGUCACUUAUAGAUGGAUCCGCGUCGCAUUAGCUAGUUGGUAAGGUAACGGCUUACCAAGGCAACGAUGCGUAGCCGACCUGAGAGGGUGAUCGGCCAACACUGAACUGAGAAACGGUCCCAAAUUCUACGGGAGGGAGGAGUAGGGAAUCUUCCGCAAUGGGCGAAAGGCUGACGGAGCCACGCCGCGGGAGGGAAGAAGGUCUUUGGAUCGUAAAACCCUGUUAUUAGGGAAGAACAAAUGUGUAAGUAACUAUGCACGUCUUGACGGUACCUAAUCAGAAAGCCACGGCUAACUACGU
rnacentral:rRNA from 1 species